GAGCUCACAGCGCCGCCCCGUGUCAUGGUUGCCGGUUCCGCGGAGCAGAGCGGUUCCCCUGAGGCGCCCCGGCCCCUUCCACCCCGCAGCCGGGGGCUCCCGGGUCCCCUCAGGCCCGGCGGGGGGCGGCCCCCGGGUGCAGUUGUGAAGUGCUGACUUCUACAACAAGAGGUGCCAUCAUGGGGAAUCAGCUGGCUGGCAUUGCCCCGUCUCAGAUCUUGUCUGUUGACAGCUAUUUCUCAGACAUCCAUGACUUUGAAUAUGACAAAAGCCUGGGGAGUACUCGGUUUUUUAAAGUUGCUCGGGCCAAGCACAGGGAAGGCCUGGUGGUUGUGAAGGUGUUUGCAAUUCAGGAUCCAACUUUACCACUAACUAGCUACAAGCAAGAGCUAGAGGAGUUAAAGAUAAGGCUACACUCUGCCCAGAACUGUCUUCCCUUUCAGAAGGCCACUUUGUCUGAAAAAGCAGCUAUGCUCUUCCGACAGUAUGUGCGGGACAACCUUUAUGAUCGAAUUAGUACUAGGCCAUUCCUAAAUAACAUUGAAAAGAGGUGGAUAGCCUUCCAGAUCUUGACUGCUGUGGACCAAGCACACAAGUCUGGAGUCCGUCAUGGGGACAUCAAAACUGAAAACAUUAUGGUGACUAGCUGGAACUGGGUGCUUCUAACUGACUUUGCCAGUUUUAAACCAACUUAUCUUCCUGAGGACAAUCCUGCUGACUUCAAUUAUUUCUUUGACACAUCACGUAGAAGGACUUGUUAUAUUGCCCCUGAGCGCUUUGUUGAUGGCAGUAUGUUUUCUACAGAGUUGGAGAAUAUGAAAGAUCCUUCAAUGCCACUGGUAGACUUGGCAAACAGCAAUCAGCGAACCAGAGGAGAAUUGAAACGUGCAAUGGAUAUCUUUUCUGCAGGUAUUUGGGGCUGUGUAAUAGCAGAGCUCUUCACAGAAGGUGUACCACUGUUUGACUUAUCUCAGCUUUUGGCCUAUAGAAAUGGUCUUUUCUCCCCUGACCAAGUCCUGAACAAAAUUGAAGAUCGCAGUAUCAGAGAACUGGUCACUCAGAUGAUCCACUGUGAGCCAGAUAAACGUUUAGGAGCAGAUGAUUACUUAAAACAACAACGUAACAAUGCAUUUCCUGAAAUAUUUUACACCUUUCUCCAGCCUUACAUGGCACAGUUUGCCAAGGAAACAUUCCUAUCAGCAGAUGAGCGUAUACUUGUCAUACGUAAAGAUCUGGACAACAUUAUCCACAAUCUCUGUGGACAUGACCGAACAGAGAAAGCAGAGGGAGAGACAAAAGAGAAUGGGCUAGUUGUUCUAGUGUCUGUGAUAACUUCCUGUUUACAGACUCUCAAAUACUGUGAUUCCAAACUGGCUGCUUUGGAACUGAUUCUGCAUUUAGCACCAAGAUUAAGUGUGGAGAUUCUGCUGGAUCGUAUUAUGCCUUAUCUAUUACAUUUCAGCAAUGACUCUGUGCCCAGGGUGAGGGCAGAAGCUGUGAGGACACUGACUAAAGUUCUUGCUCUUGUCAAGGAGGUGCCACGCAAUGAUAUCAAUAUUUACCCAGAAUACAUUUUGCCAGGCAUAGCACAUUUAGCACAAGAUGAAGCCACUAUUGUCAGACUGGCAUAUGCUGAAAACAUAGCACUGUUAGCAGAAACGGCUCUGAGAUUUCUGGAAUUAGUACAGCUGAAAAAUCUGAACAUGGAAAACGAGCCGACCAGUGAAGAAAUGGAUGAAGUGUCACAUCCCAGUGAAAACUAUGACACAGAGCUUCAGGCUUUGCAUGAAAUGGUCCAGCAGAAAGUUGUUACUCUGCUGAGUGACCCAGAAAACAUUGUGAAACAGACACUAAUGGAAAAUGGAAUAACACGACUCUGUGUCUUCUUUGGACGUCAAAAAGCCAAUGAUGUCCUCCUAUCUCAUAUGAUCACCUUCCUGAAUGAUAAGAAUGACUGGCAUCUUCGGGGAGCUUUCUUUGACAGCAUAGUUGGUGUUGCUGCUUACGUUGGCUGGCAAAGCUCAUCAAUUUUAAAACCUCUACUCCAGCAAGGUCUCAGUGAUGCUGAAGAAUUUGUCAUUUUUAAGGCUCUCAAUGCCCUUACCUGUAUGUGCCAGUUAGGGCUCUUGCAGAAACCACACAUCUAUGAAUUUGCUUGUGAUAUAGCGCCUUUCCUAUGUCAUCCAAACCUUUGGAUACGUUACGGUGCAGUAGGAUUUAUCACUGUGGUAGCACAACACUUAAAUAUUGCUGAUGUCUACUGCAAGCUAAUGCCUUAUCUCCAUCCUUUUAUCACUCAGCCGAUAAUACAGAUAGAUAAAGAAAUAGUCCUGUUGAGUGUCCUUAAAGAGCCAGUAAGCCGUUCCAUAUUUGAUUAUGCUUUAAGAUCAAAGGACAUCGCAAGCCUUUUCAGACAUCUUCAUAUGCGUCAGAAGAAAAGGAAUGGUGCUCUCCCUGAUUGUCCUCCCCCUGAGGACCCAGCCAUAGCGCAGCUGCUAAAGAAGCUACUUUCCCAAGGUAUGACUGAGGAGGAAGAAGACAAACUGUUAGCACUAAAAGACUUUAUGUUAAAAUCAAAUAAAGCCAAGGCCAAUAUAGUGGACCAGAGCCACCUGCAUGACAGCACUCAAAAAGGGGUUAUUGACUUGGCAGCUCUGGGAAUAACUGGAAGACAAGUUGAUCUUGUUAAAACAAAGCAGGAGCCUGACGACAAGCGUGCUAGAAAAAAUGUAAAACAAGAAGCAAAUGUAAAUGAAGAAUGGAAAAGUAUGUUUGGGUCUUUGGAACCUUCUAACAUCUCCCAGCCAAUACCUAAAGGGCAAAGUACUGAUCAAGAAGCAGCUCAGACUGGAAAACCUCUUCGUUCCGAGUCCGCUGCUGGCAUCUGUGCCAAUUUGUCAUCCUCUCCACAGGCAACUGAUGGAACAGUUGUCCAAACCAGGAAACCAACCAUACAGGUUUUAAGCAGUACAGCUUCACCUUCCACGUACCAAUUACGCAUCACUACUUGCAAAACUGAACUUCAGCAGUUAGUCCAACAGAAGCGAGAACAGUGCAAUGCAGAAAGAAUGGCCAAACAGAUGAUGGAGAAUGCUGAAUGGGAGAGCAAACCACCUCCUACAGGGUGGCGUCCUAAAGGGCUGUUAGUUGCUCACCUUCAUGAACACAAGUCUGCAGUGAACCGUAUUCGAGUCUCGGAUGAACAUUCCAUUUUUGCCACAUGCUCUAAUGAUGGCACGGUGAAAAUCUGGAACAGCCAAAAAAUGGAAGGAAAAACCACUACGACCAGAUCAAUUUUGACAUAUUCUCGGAUUGGAGGAAGUGUCAAGACACUCACUUUUUGCCAAGGCUCACACUACCUGGCUGUAGCUUCAGAUAAUGGUGGGAUCCAGCUUCUUGGGAUUGAAGCAUCAAAGCUUCCGAAAUCUCCUAAAAUUCAUCCAAUACAAAGCAGGUUGCUAGACCAGAAGGAUGAUGGGUGUGUGGUAGAUAUGCAUCACUUCAAUUCGGGAGCACAGUCAGUGCUGGCUUAUGCCACUGUGAAUGGUUCCCUAGUUGGAUGGGACUUGCGAUCCACUAGUAAUGCUUGGACAUUAAAACAUGAUUUGAGGCUAGGUCUCAUAACCUCAUUUGCUGUGGACAUACACCAGUGCUGGCUAUGUAUUGGUACAAGCAAUGGUACCAUGGCAUGCUGGGACAUGAGGUUCCAGUUACCCAUCUCCAGCCAUUGCCAUCCUUCCAGGGCUCGUAUCAGACGCCUGCUGAUGCAUCCACUGUCUCAGUCAUGGGUAAUUGCAGCCUUCGCCUCACAGUGUUCAUGGAAUAUACUGUAGUCCUGCAGAUGGAAAUCCCAUCUUACUGACUGCAGGUUCAGACAUGAAAAUAAGGUAAAAAUAGUCUGAGGAAUCUCUUUAGAUUUUUUAAAACCUAUCACAUCUUUAGUGAACCAAUCUGCAAAUAGUGAACCUAUUACUACUAACCCACCCCCUCACAGUGCAAGCUUAGAAGUUUGUGAAAUUGAAUGUUCGCUUUUUCCACAGUCAAGAGAGCUGUGCUCUCUGUUCUAUUCCUCGUUGCUGCUGCCUGUUAUAUCAGGCCAGGGUUUUUAACUUCCCGCAUCUCACUUUUCCCAUCUGCAAAACUGAAAUAAUACCCACCUUUUGUAAAGUGUUUGAUAUGCUAUGCUGGAAGCAGCAGUUAGUGAUGCCUUGUGAGUAAAUGUGAUAUUAACUUUGAUUUUCCAUAUUUAUAACCUAUAACUCUUCCCCUCAAUAAAAAGAAAAGGAGGACUUGUGGCACCUUAGAGACUAAAGGUGCCACAAGUCCUCCUUCUCUUUUUACGGAUACAGACUAACAUGGCUGCUACUCUGAAAUCUUCCAUUCAAUGUUUCUGUAAAGUCUGGGCUAACUGAAUUUUACCUUAAGGGCAAGAAGGCUCUUACACAAUCGUAGUGCGGUUUAAGCAGCAUUAAGCAUUUAUCAUGUAUGUUUGUUUUUUGGGUUGUGUGUGUUUUGGUUUUGUUUGCUUUUUCCUCUCUUAGGUUUUGGGAAAUGGCUUAUCCUGAGAGAUCGUACAUUGUUGCAGGAAGUGCUACUUGCCCAUCUGUAUCCUACUACAGGAAGAUAAUUGAAGGCACAGAGGUGGUUCAGGAAAUUCAAAACAAGCAGAAGAUGGGCCCCACAGAUGAGACCCCUCGUCGCGGACCAGAGUCUCUACCAGUUGGACACCAUGAUAUCAUCACAGAUAUUGC